rnacentral:rRNA from 1 species
UAGGGAAUCUUCGGCAAUGGGGGCAACCCUGACCGAGCAACGCCGCGUGAGUGAAGAAGGUUUUCGGAUCGUAAAGCUCUGUUGUAAGUCAAGAACGAGUGUGAGAGUGGAAAGUUCACACUGUGACGGUAGCUUACCAGAAAGGGACGGCUAACUACGUGCCAGCAGCCGCGGUAAUACGUAGGUCCCGAGCGUUGUCCGGAUUUAUUGGGCGUAAAGCGAGCGCAGGCGGUCUGAUAAGUCUGAAGUUAAAGGCUGUGGCUCAACCAUAGUUCGCUUUGGAAACUGUCAAACUUGAGUGCAGAAGGGGAGAGUGGAAUUCCAUGUGUAGCGGUGAGAUGCGUAGAUAUAUGGAGGAACACCGGUGGCGAAAGCGGCUCUCUGGUCUGUAACUGACGCUGAGGCUCGAAAGCGUGGGGAGCGAACAGGAUUAGAUACCCUGGUAGUCCACGCCGUAAACGAUGAGUGCUAGGUGUUGGAUCCUUUCCGGGAUUCAGUGCCGCAGCUAACGCAUUAAGCACUCCGCCUGGGGAGUACGACCGCAAGGUUG